GACGGAGGGUGCUAGCGUUAUUCGGAAUCAUUGGGCGUAAAGGGUGUGCAGGCGGCCGGUCAAGUCAGAUGUGAAAGACCGGGGCUCAACCUCGGAAGUGCAUUUGAAACUGGUCGGCUUGAGUUCGGGAGAGGGAAGCGGAAUUCCGGGUGUAGAGGUGAAAUUCGUAGAUAUCCGGAGGAACACCGGUGGCGAAGGCGGCUUCCUGGACCGAAACUGACGCUGAGACACGAAAGCGUGGGGAGCAAACAGG
rnacentral:rRNA from 1 species